ACACUCAGAGGUCCCCACAAACACUAGAAACACUCAGAGGUCCCCACGAACACUAGAAACACUCAGAGGUCCCCACAAACACUAAAUUACUCAGAGGUCCCCAAAAACACUAGAAACACUCAGAGGUCCCCACAAACACUAAACACUAGAAACACUCAGAGGUCCCCGCAAACACUAGAAACACUCAGAGGUCCCCACAAACACUAGGAACACUCAGAGGUCCCCACAAACACUA